rnacentral:rRNA from 1 species
UGGGGAAUAUUGGACAAUGGGCGAAAGCCUGAUCCAGCAAUGCCGCGUGAGUGAAGAAGGCCUUCGGGUUGUAAAGCUCUUUUGUCAGGGAAGAAACGGUAUCUCCUAAUACGGGGUGCUAAUGACGGUACCUGAAGAAUAAGCACCGGCUAACUACGUGCCAGCAGCCGCGGUAAUACAGAGGGUGCAAGCAUUGAUCGGAAUUACUGGGCGUAAAGGGCGCGUAGGCGGCUCGAUAAGUCGGAUGUGAAAUUCCGGGGCUCAACCCCGGAGCGGCAUUUGAAACUAUCGAACUAGAGUACAGUUAGGGUAAACGGAAUUCCACGUGUAGCGGUGAAAUGCGUAGAUAUGUGGAAGAACACCGGUGGUGAAGACGGUUUACUGGGCUGUAACUGACGCUGAGGCGCGAAAGCAUGGGGAGCAAACAGGAUUAGAUACCCCGGUAGUCCCUGAGCGGGCUGGCAAGGCGCAU